GAUGAAGAACGCAGCGAAAUGCGAUAAGUAAUGUGAAUUGCAGAAUUCAGUGAAUCAUCGAAUCUUUGAACGCACAUUGCGCCCGCCAGCAUUCUGGCGGGCAUGCCUGUUCGAGCGUCAUUUCAACCCUCGAGCCCCCCCGGGGGCCUCGGUGUUGGGGGACGGCACACCAGCCGCCCCCGAAAUGCAGUGGCGACCCCGCCGCAGCCUCCCCUGCGUAGUAGCACACACCUCGCACCGGAGCGCGGAGGCGGUCACGCCGUAAAACGCCCAACUUUCUUAGACUUGACCUCGGAUCAGGUAGGAAUACCCGCUGAACUUAAGCAUAUCAAUAAGCGGAGGA
rnacentral:misc_RNA from 1 species